GUUCGGGGUUCGACAUCUGCGGUCGUAUAAUGCUGUGCCCUGCGGAGCAACUAGUUCUGUGUUAUUUUGAAAACAAUAAGAGCUAAGAUUUUAUUGUAAACUGCAAAAAUGAUCUGCAUAACAAGAUCUAUCUAAUCCGAAAAAUUUACCACCUGUUUUUGGAGAUAUUGGGAGUCAGAAUUAUUGAUAAAUACAUUUUUCCAAAUAUAGUCCAUCAGCUAGUUUUCAAAAGCGAUCUAGUUAAGGAGUUUGUGUUACACCCCAGGGUACCGCGA
rnacentral:lncRNA from 1 species